rnacentral:rRNA from 1 species
CACUUUGUGAUUCAUGACUGGGGUGAAGUCGUAACAAGGUAACCGUAGGGGAACCUGCGGUUGGAUUACCUCCUUA